ACAAUAGCACAUGGAGGAAACGAGAGUCAAAGAGCAAUGGGCUGCUAACCAUGCAAAUGAGAAGUGGUAAUCCUGUACCGCAGAACUUGAAACGGCAGCCAAACAGCCAGCCUAACCAUGCAGCUUGUGAAGGAUUCAGCAUGUGUACUUCGCAAGGAUGGUGAAACUGAUGUUUUCAGGAUCUCUAAUUUACCAUUCAGAGUGCAGAGGUACAUCAGAAAUUACUUUGGAGGAUAUGUGGCAUCUCCCAGGUAGGAAAGGACCUAUCCACGGUAACUAGAUUUUUCUGCCGAACAUCAAAAGGAGGUGGUCGUAAAAAAUGCCCACCAAGUUAUUUCAUAGAACCAAAUUUUAUGCAAAGCAUGCCUGAUAGUCAAAGGACAAACAAAUGCUCACUGGCAUUCUGAACUGAGAGCUUCCGUCUUACACAGAUAUGCUGUGUCACACGGGAAGGCACUUAAAACCCCCACGGCCUCACAAGUAAAGUAUUUUGCCAAACCUCAGGAGGCACGACAUUGGUAGAUCCUUUGAAAAUGCAAACCCAUUAUUGCUACAUGAAUGACAGCUCAUAAGGAGCCUUCAGAGUGGGGAAAAGCUGGAGCUCACCUUUUCUUCAAUAGGGCAUUUCUCUUUGAGCCAGUGAUUCAGGACUUCAUCUUUAAACGCGCCCGUGUUGCCCACGGUGCUUUGCUGAAUUUUGGCAAUUGUCGUGGCCUCUUUCACGAUCUCGAUCAUUCCUAUGAGAAGAUGCACAGAGGCUGAUGGACACUGGGGCCUGGGGCCUGACCCAGAGGAGGAAUGGCUGGGUCUCUGUUGACAGGAGGGCAGAGGGCUUUUCAACCAGGCGGCUAUUUCCCUGGUUUGGUUUUCUUAGGAGAGAGAGAAAGAAAAGGAGGAGGAUGCAGAAGUUUUGUGGGACAUGCUUUCAGUCCCUGAAUGAAAAGAGGAAAGGUUGGCUUUCAAAGGCAAUAAGUAAAAGCACUUAUGUGCUGAGCAUAUGUGCUUGGCAAACGGUGCCUUUUCCUUUUUUAAUCACAGGGUCAAAUGGAAGUGGUUUUGUACAGUUCUCGGAUUGGAAACUUGAAUAAAAAUAUGUCUGCUUGAAACAAAAAUGUUAAAUGUCUGUAAAAGCACCUAAGAGUAGAGUAUGUAAUAGUUUCAAUAAUGUGAAUUCUAAGAUAUUAAAAUAAGUGACAGAUCUUUGUGUCUAUUUUUAAACGUUAUUUGUGAGAGAGAGGUUUUAUGUGCAGUGAAACGAGUUACAGUUUAGAGGUGGAGAAGUAAAGAGGAGGGAACAAGUUCUUAUGAAAAUCAUUUCCAUGUAUAGUCACAGGGAUUUAAAUCACACAUUCAUGUAUUUUCAACAGAUCCAUAUUAAAUCAAGAGUCACAUU